rnacentral:rRNA from 1 species
UACGUAGGGGGCAAGCGUUAUCCGGAAUCACUGGGCGUAAAGGGUGCGUAGGCGGUCUUGCAAGCCAGGGGUGAAAGGCUAUGGCUCAACCAUAGUGAGCCUUUGGAACUGCCGGACUUGAGUACAGGAGAGGAAAGUGGAAUUCCUAGUGUAGCGGUGAAAUGCGUAGAUAUUAGGAGGAACACCAGUGGCGAAGGCGACUUUCUGGACUGUUACUGACGCUGAGGCACGAAAGCGUGGGGAGCGAACA